rnacentral:rRNA from 1 species
CCUACGGGCGGCAGCAGUGGGGAAUAUUGGGCAAUGGGCGCAAGCCUGACCCAGCAACGCCGCGUGAAGGAAGAAGGCUUUCGGGUUGUAAACUUCUUUUGUCAGGGAAGAGUAGAAGACGGUACCUUACGAAUAAGCCACGGCUAACUACUUGCCAGCAGCCGAGGUAAUACGUAGGUGGCAAGCGUUGUCCGGAGUUACUGGGUGUAAAGGGCGUGUGGCCGGUUUGACAAGUCAGUUGUGAAAUCCUGCGGCUUAACGGCAGAACUGCAUUUGAAACUGUUGAUCUUGAGUACUGGAUAGGCAGACGGAAUGCCUGGUGUAGCGGUGAAAUGCGUAGAUAUUAGGAGGAACACCAGUGGCGAAGGCGGUCUGCUGGACAGCAACUGACGGUGAGGCGCGAAAGCGUGGGGAGCAAACAGGAUUAGAUACCCGAGUAGUC